UGUGAACUCGAAGAGUAGGGCGGGACACGUGGUAUCCUGUCUGAAUAUGGGGGGACCAUCCUCCAAGGCUAAAUACUCCUGACUGACCGAUAGUGAACCAGUACCGUGAGGGAAAGGCGAAAAGAACCCCGGCGAGGGGAGUGAAAAAGAACCUGAAACCGUGUACGUACAAGCAGUGGGAGCACCUUCGGGUGUGACUGCGUACCUUUUGUAUAAUGGGUCAGCGACUUAUAUUCUGUAGCAAGGUUAACCGUAUAGGGGAGCCGCAGGGAAACCGAGUCUUAACUGGGCGUUAAGUUGCAGGGUAUAGACCCGAAACCCGGUGAUCUAGCCAUGGGCAGGUUGAAGGUUGGGUAACACUAACUGGAGGACCGAACCGACUAAUGUUGAAAAAUUAGCGGAUGACUUGUGGCUGGGGGUGAAAGGCCAAUCAAACCGGGAGAUAGCUGGUUCUCCCCGAAAGCUAUUUAGGUAGCGCCUCGUGAACUCAUCUUCGGGGGUAGAGCACUGUUUCGGCUAGGGGGUCAUCCCGACUUACCAACCCGAUGCAAACUACGAAUACCGAAGAAUGUUAUCACGGGAGACACACGGCGGGUGCUAACGUCCGUCGUGAAGAGGGAAACAACCCAGACCGCCAGCUAAGGUCCCAAAGUCAUGGUUAAGUGGGAAACGAUGUGGGAAGGCACAGACAGCCAGGAUGUUGGCUUAGAAGCAGCCAUCAUUUAAAGAAAGCGUAAUAGCUCACUGGUCGAGUCGGCCUGCGCGGAAGAUGUAACGGGGCUAAACCAUGCACCGAAGCUGCGGCAGCGACACUAUGUGUUGUUGGGUAGGGGAGCGUUCUGUAAGCCUGCGAAGGUGACCUGUGAGGGUUGCUGGAGGUAUCAGAAGUGCGAAUGCUGACAUAAGUAACGAUAAAGCGGGUGAAAAGCCCGCUCGCCGGAAGACCAAGGGUUCCUGUCCAACGUUAAUCGGGGCAGGGUGAGUCGACCCCUAAGGCGAGGCCGAAAGGCGUAGUCGAUGGGAAACAGGUUAAUAUUCCUGUACUUGGUGUUACUGCGAAGGGGGGACGGAGAAGGCUAUGUUAGCCGGGCGACGGUUGUCCCGGUUUAAGCAUGUAGGCGGAGGUUCCAGGUAAAUCCGGUACCUUUUAACGCUGAGGUGUGAUGACGAGGCACUACGGUGCUGAAGUAACAAAUGCCCUGCUUCCAGGAAAAGCCUCUAAGCAUCAGGUAACAUCAAAUCGUACCCCAAACCGACACAGGUGGUCAGGUAGAGAAUACCAAGGCGCUUGAGAGAACUCGGGUGAAGGAACUAGGCAAAAUGGUGCCGUAACUUCGGGAGAAGGCACGCUGGUGUGUAGGUGAAGUCCCUGCGGAUGGAGCUGAGACCAGUCGAAGAUACCAGCUGGCUGCAACUGUUUAUUAAAAACACAGCACUGUGCAAACACGAAAGUGGACGUAUACGGUGUGACGCCUGCCCGGUGCCGGAAGGUUAAUUGAUGGGGUUAUCCGUAAGGAGAAGCUCUUGAUCGAAGCCCCGGUAAACGGCGGCCGUAACUAUAACGGUCCUAAGGUAGCGAAAUUCCUUGUCGGGUAAGUUCCGACCUGCACGAAUGGCGUAAUGAUGGCCAGGCUGUCUCCACCCGAGACUCAGUGAAAUUGAACUCGCUGUGAAGAUGCAGUGUACCCGCGGCAAGACGGAAAGACCCCGUGAACCUUUACUAUAGCUUGACACUGAACAUUGAGCCUUGAUGUGUAGGAUAGGUGGGAGGCUUUGAAGCGUGGACGCCAGUCUGCGUGGAGCCAACCUUGAAAUACCACCCUUUAAUGUUUGAUGUUCUAACGUUGGCCCCUUACCGGGGUUGCGGACAGUGUCUGGUGGGUAGUUUGACUGGGGCGGUCUCCUCCCAAAGCGUAACGGAGGAGCACGAAGGUUAGCUAAUCCUGGUCGGACAUCAGGAGGUUAGUGCAAUGGCAUAAGCUAGCUUGACUGCGAGCGUGACGGCGCGAGCAGGUGCGAAAGCAGGUCAUAGUGAUCCGGUGGUUCUGAAUGGAAGGGCCAUCGCUCAACGGAUAAAAGGUACUCCGGGGAUAACAGGCUGAUACCGCCCAAGAGUUCAUAUCGACGGCGGUGUUUGGCACCUCGAUGUCGGCUCAUCACAUCCUGGGGCUGAAGUAGGUCCCAAGGGUAUGGCUGUUCGCCAUUUAAAGUGGUACGCGAGCUGGGUUUAGAACGUCGUGAGACAGUUCGGUCCCUAUCUGCCGUGGGCGCUGGAGAAUUGAGGGGGGCUGCUCCUAGUACGAGAGGACCGGAGUGGACGCAUCACUGGUGUUCGGGUUGUCAUGCCAAUGGCACUGCCCGGUAGCUAAAUGCGGAAGAGAUAAGUGCUGAAAGCAUCUAAGCACGAAACUUGCCCCGAGAUGAGUUCUCCCUGAGACUUUAAGUCUCCUGAAGGAACGUU
rnacentral:rRNA from 1 species